rnacentral:rRNA from 1 species
UGGAUAUGAGCUCUCAUCGCAUGGUGGGGGUUGGAAAGAUUUUUCGGUCUGGGAUGGGCUCGCGGCCUAUCAGCUUGUUGGUGAGGUAAUGGCUCACCAAGGCGUCGACGGGUAGCCGGCCUGAGAGGGUGACCGGCCACACUGGGACUGAGACACGGCCCAGACUCCUACGGGAGGCAGCAGUGGGGAAUAUUGCACAAUGGGCGGAAGCCUGAUGCAGCAACGCCGCGUGAGGGAUGACGGCCUUCGGGUUGUAAACCUCUUUUAGCAGGGAAGAAGCGAGAGUGACGGUACCUGCAGAAAAAGCGCCGGCUAACUACGUGCCAGCAGCCGCGGUAAUACGUAGGGCGCAAGCGUUAUCCGGAAUUAUUGGGCGUAAAGAGCUCGUAGGCGGUUUGUCGCGUCUGCUGUGAAAUCCCGAGGCUCAACCUCGGGCCUGCAGUGGGUACGGGCAGACUAGAGUGCGGUAGGGGAGAUUGGAAUUCCUGGUGUAGCGGUGGAAUGCGCAGAUAUCAGGAGGAACACCGAUGGCGAAGGCAGAUCUCUGGGCCGUAACUGACGCUGAGGAGCGAAAGGGUGGGGAGCAAACAGGCUUAGAUACCCUGGUAGUCCACCCCGUAAACGUUGGGAACUAGUUGUGGGG